UCUACAAACAUUACGGAAGACCACUUGGAUACGCAAGAAACACAUUUUACUGAAUUCUUGUUACCUUUGUCGUCGUACAUUUUUAUGGUUCUUGAUGCGCAGUAACGUUGUGAUCACGUAGUAAUGUUGCGAUCACGCUUAGAAAUGGCGCCGGGGUCGCGGCUGUUGCGUGUUUGCGCUGGGAUGUUCGCUAUCGUAGUUAUUUAAGUUCCCAGGUGCACGGGCUCCUCCGUCCACGGGCUCCGUCAUGGCCGGCUCUAUCAUCGUGCCUACAGAUCCGGCGUGGUGUCGUCAGUAACAGCGCCAUGUCACCAGCUCCGACGUAAUUUCACCGUCUCGACGCGUCAUCGCUACCUUCGUGGUGUCACGGUUAAGGGCUGCCUAAACACUGCCAUAUCACUUCUUAACAAAUCUUAUAAUUCUUACGGUCUGCAAAUUCCAAAGUCUUGUUCGGGCAGCCACACGCACAGCGGGACGAGAUGUAGCAGGUGCCGCCCCCUUCGAAAAGCUAACUGAUCUUAAACUCGGGCACACCACUGGGUAUCCAGCGUUGAUGCCAAGCCAAGUCAUUGUGACGGCACUGUCCCCGAUGCUGUGCGUCAAAAACCGUCUCAGAGCAUCAGAUGUGCUAUGCAACCGCCUAUUUGUCUCAGGUGCGAUGCUGGGAGCUUUAGCAUGGCAUAGCGAUCUCCUCCGCCAGGCCAAGUUUGUUGGCAUGUUUCCUGUUCAGACAAAUGUGGACCGUGUACAGUCAGCUUAGAGAUGCAACUUGUGUGUGGUCGUUUCAGUGUACUUUGCUGUAGGCAUGGGUUAUGCGACAUUCUAUGUGAACCCUUGAGUUACUAAUAAAUGCUGUGACGCAU